GAUGAAGAACGUAGCGAAGUGCGAUAAGUAAUGUGAAUUGCAGAUUUCAGUGAAUCAUCGAAUCUUUGAACGCACAUUGCGCCCCUUGGUAUUCCGAGGGGCAUGCCUGUUCGAGCGUCAUUACACCACUCAAGCUAUGCUUGGUAUUGGGUGCCGUCCUUAGUUGGGCGCGCCUUAAAGACCUCGGCGAGGCCUCACCGGCUUUAGGCGUAGUAGAAUUUAUUCGAACGUCUGUCAAAGGAGAGGACUUCUGCCGACUGAAACCUUUUAUUUUUCUAGGUUGACCUCGGAUCAGGUAGGGAUACCCGCUGAACUUAAGCAUAUCAAUAAGCGGAGGA
rnacentral:misc_RNA from 1 species